AUACUAUAUUUUGAGAAUAUGACAUAUUUUGAGAAUAUGACAUAUUUUGAGAAUAUUGAAUAUUUCCAUAAGAUUCAACUCAACAAGCAGAAUAACUCACACGCAUGACGGUCCACAAGCCCGAUAGCCUUCAAGUUAGCGUCGUGACAACCCUACAAUCCGCAGCCCGACACAUGCCCGGUUCAGUUCGGUUUGGUUUGGCCAAAGUUUCCCACUUUACACCUUUAUUUCUCAUUCAAUACAACUUCAUUUU
rnacentral:sRNA from 1 species